UACGGAGGAUGCAAGCGUUAUCCGGAAUGAUUGGGCGUAAAGCGUCCGCAGGUGGCAAUGUAAGUCUGCUGUCAAAGCGUCUGGCUCAACCAGAUAAAGGCAGUGGAAACUACAUAGCUAGAGUAAGGUAGGGGUAGAGGGAAUUCCUGGUGUAGCGGUGAAAUGCGUAGAGAUCAGGAAGAACACCGGUGGCGAAAGCGCUCUGCUGGACCUUAACUGACACUGAGGCGCGAAAGCCAGGGGAGCGAACGGG
rnacentral:rRNA from 1 species